GCCCUCAAGUGACAGCUCGUCUCCCCGCCCCCGGUGGGGCCCCGGAGCGGCUGCGACCCCCCGCCUCGCGUCCCGGUGUCCGGAGCGCACAGACCCGCCCACCCGCGCGGCGCCUGGGCCUCGGGGAGGAUGGGAUCCUCCGAGAUUCAUAUCCCUGUAGAGUCUCCUUGAACAAUGAAGAGAGCUAAACCAUGGCAGCAGUGUGACGACUGAGGCCGCGUCACAGUACACGGUGCUUCCUCCCCGCUCUCGGGCCGACCGUGGGGGAAACCAGCCUCCACGGUGUGGGGCCACUCAAGCAGCGGCCUGUGGAGAGUCCCAUGCCAAGAAGGACGGAGGCCUCCCGCCCAACCCGGACCGGUAGUUGGGAACGUGUGUGAGUCACCCCGCGAGGAGACCCUCCAGGUCACAAAGUCUGGGGGUGAUCCCUCACACAGCAAUGGAGACCUGAUACAGCAAUAUUGUUCCUCAGUGAAACCCACCUCUGUGGAGCCAAGGUCAGCUCCAUAGAGCUGUGUUGGGAGCGGCCAGUCAGGAAGUCGGCCGGCUGCACCGUUAGCACUCACACCAGAAGACUUGAGAUACACAAGCGUCAAGUCAGAGGACAAAAUAGAGGAGAUAUUCCAUAAGCAAUGGCAACAAAAGGCCCAGGGAUGAGCUUAACAAGAAACAUGCAGGAAAACUGAAACGUUCCCAACAGACACCGUAGAAACUGGACCAGAAUACCACAUUCUUGGAUGAGGGACUUAACAUUGCAUAAAGACAUUAAUCCUUCCUAAACUUAUGUAUGGAUUUAAUACCAUCUCAGUAAACAUACGAGGAAGAAUCAGGGGUGGACGUGCUCGUUUUAACUCAAUAAGGAAAGCAUAACACGAACAAGCAAGAAGAGGAGGGAGAAUUAUGCCAAAGAAGGAGUCAUAAAAACCGAAGAAGGGAAACAGUCCCAAACUCAUGUUACAAGCCCACACUCACCCUGGUACCAACGCCGGAUGGAUACCACAAUGAAAGAAAAUUAAAGACCAAUUGUCCUGAUGAACAUAGAUGCAGACAUUCUCGCCAAAAUAUUAGCAGACCAAACUCAACAGCACAUUAAAAGGAUCAUCCACCAUGACCAAGCGGGAUUUAUCCCUGGGAGGCAAGAUGGUUCAACAUCAGCAAAUCAACAAAAGUGAUACAUCACAUUCACGGAAGGAAGGAUAAAAAUCGUAUGGUCGUCUCAGUAGAUGCUUCUCUGCAUGUGACCCAACACUGCAUCCUUUCAUGAUAAAAAUGCUCAACAAACCGGGAAUGGGAGGAAUGUUCCUGGCAUAAUGAACACCAUAUGUGACAAGCCCACAGCUAACAUCCUACUCAAUGGUGAAAAGUUAAAAGCCUUUUUUCUAAGAUCAGGACCAAGACAGGGAUGCCUUCUGUCACCGUUUCUAGCCAACAUAGCACUGAGGCUAUCUCUCUAUGAAAGAGAGAUAAAAGGCAUCCAUAUCAGAAAGGAAGAAGUAAAAUCAUAUGUUUGCAGAUGACAUGAUAUUAUAUAUAAAAAAUCCCAAAGACUCCACUAAAAAAAAACUGCUGGCACUAAUAAAUUAAUGCAGUGAAGUUGCAGGAUACAAAAUCAACAUACAGAAAUCAGUUGUAUGUCUGUACACUAACAACAAACUAUCUGAACAAGAAACAAAGCAAUCUCAUUUACAAUAGCAUCAAAUAUAACGAAAUAUUUAGGAAUACAUUUCACAAAGGAGGUGAAAGGCCUGUAUGCUGAAAACAGUAAGACAUAGAUAAAGAAAUUGAAGAAGACACACACGAGAAAUGGAAAGAUAUUCCAUGCUCAUGGAUUCGAAGAAAUGAUGUCCUGAAAAUGUCCAUACUACCCAAACCGAUCUACAGAUCCAAUGUAAUCCCAAUCAAAAUUUCAAUGGCAUUUUUCAUAGAAAUAGAAAAAAACGAUCCUACAAUUUAUUUGGGACCACAGAAGACCCCAAAUAGCCAAAGUAACCCUGGGAAAAAAGAGUAAAGCUGGAGGCAUCACGCGUCUUGGUUUCAAGCUCUACAUACAAAGCUAUAGUAACCAAAACAGUAUGGUACUGGCAGAAAUAAGGCACACGGGCCAGAGAAACAGAACAGAGAGCCCACACGUAAACCCACACGGAUAGGGUCAACUAACUUUUUAUAAGCGUUCCAAGAACACGCAAUGGGGAUAGGCGCAGUCUCUUCAACGGAUGGUGCUGGGAAAACCAGAUGUCCACAUGCAAAAGAAUGACACUGGUGCCCUAUCUUACACCACUCGCAAAAGUUAACUCAAAGUGGAUCAAAGACUUAAAUGUAAGACCUAAAACCACAAAAUUACUAGAAAAAGAAAAUAGGGAGAAAGAUCCUUGAUAUCUGUCUUGACAACGAUUUCUUGGAUAUGACCCUGAAAGCACGGGCAGGGAGCACUAAGCGAACAAGUGGGGUCACAUCAGACUAAAGAGCUUCUGUUCCGCGAAGGCGCUAUCAGCACAUUGAAAAGGCAACGUACAGAAUGCAAAAAAUAUCCACAAACCAUACAUCCGAUGAGCGGCUAAUAUCCAAAAUUUGUAAGCAGCACAUAAAACUCAAUAGCAAAAAUAAAGAAAUAAUCAAAUUUAAAAAUGGGCAGAGGACCUGAAUAGACAUUUUUGCAAAGAUGACAUACGAAUGAGCACCAGACACAUGAAAAGAUGCUCAGCAUCACUCACCAUCAGGGAAAACGCAGAUCAAAAGCACCAGGAGACACCUCACACCUGUUGGGAUGGCGAAUACCAAAAAGACAAGAGAUAACAGGUGUCGGUCAGUGAGCAUGUGGAGAGAAGGGAACCCUGUGCGCUGUUGGUGGGAAUGUAAACCGGUGCAGCCACGAUGGAAAACAGUAUGGAGGUUCCUCAAAAAAUUAAAAAUAGAACUACCGUCUGAUCCAGUGAUUUCUGGAUAUAAAUCUGGAGGAAAUGAAAUCAGGGUCUCCGAGAGCCAUGUGCACUCGCGUGCUCCCUGCAGCACUAUUCACAAUGGCCAAGACGCGGAAACAACCUCAGUGUCUGUAAUCAGAUAAAUGGGUGGAGAAGACGUUAAUUUAAAACGAGUAAGAGGAUACUAGCCCUACCAGAUAUGAAAACCUGCUGUAAAGCCACUAGGAGUGUAUUCCGGGAGUGCAAGCGGACAAGCGCCUCAAGGCAGCAGAACAGAGUCGAGAAAACGGCUGACUUGCGCACAGGGUUCCAUACACGAUGGAAGGCGGUGUGUCGGGUCCCCAGGAAAGGAGGUUCCCCUCCACCCAGGUUCUGUUAGAACUGCUGGAUUUCUAACCAUUCUGUUAGGACAACUGCUUAGCAUCUUGAAACAAAAAUAGGGCAGGGGGAUUCUCUACCCAAGACCUGACACCAAAAAUAAAACGGCAAAUGGACCAAAGAUUUAAACAGGAAAAACAAAAACAAAAACAAAAAAAAACAGCCAUAAAGUCACUAGAAGAAGCCGAGGAAGAAUGUGUUUAUGUGUUAGUAGUCUUGUGGUGGGAAGGCCUUUCUCAGGAAAACCAACCCAAGCAGCCGGUGCUCCCAUCUCCUCCCACGUGGUUCACUGACUUCUAGUUGAUGGUUUGAAAUCGGCCAUGGAAAUCAGCAAAUACUUUUUUUUUUUCCUUCUCAGAGAACCAGUAGUUAACCAUCUACCAGCGCACCAUUAACACAUUCAACCACAAAAAAAAAAAAUAAAAGGGAAAACAAGAGUCAAAAUCCAAACACAAACUGACAAAGACUUAUACUUCAUAUCACAGCUAAAAGCUCUAAAUGUAAUGAAACCUCCUUUUGAGGAAAUGCAAGUUCCAACUAUAUAAUAUUUUCCACCUCUCCAUCAGCAAGGUCCCCAGACAUUGCACUGGCGGGGAGGGGGUGUCAGAACUGGAACCACAGUGGCCAUCGGGCAGCACCGGGCCAGAAGCGCCGGGACACAUCCGUCCAAAGGCUGACGGACGCACGUAAGCAGAACCAAGUCUACACAUGGCGUCUGUGGCAGCCUCCUGUCUAAUCACAGUGGCCGAGGGCGCCCCGGUGCGCGUCAUCACCAGCAUCCCGUCCCUUGUGCCACCAACUACUCUGAGGCCAUAAAAGAGGAGGCAUCUCAAAUGUCGUGAAAUGCAGUUUUUUCCAAGAUACUUUGUUAGAGAAGAAAAUUGAGGUCUACCACAACGCACCUUGAGUUUUUAAGAAAAGAAUUAAAAACUAUACAAAGUUCAAAAGUCAGUUACAGAAAUCAGAAGUAAACUGCAUGGCCAGGAGAGGAGGGAGACUUACGUUUUUCCUUUACUUUUUUGGACAUUGGAGUUUGGAUUCAGUGCGCAUAUUCCUUAAGCAAAUACAAAGGCAGAGUGUGAAAGGCACCACAUUGGGUGCUGAAUCGUGGGCUCUUGCGAAGUAACCAUCCUCUCUGGUCACUCACAUGCCGGGAUGACAGCCUCUCCCCUUCCGGCCCUGCAGACCAUCCAGAUGUCGAUGGUGCCAAUUUCAUCUCCAAAACCCAGACCCACACAGCAAGCCCCAGCCUCUUCCCCUGCAUGUCAGGCAGGCCUGUCACACUGCACUGGGCCCACACUUUCCCCUGCUCCUCCAAAAGCCUCCCGGGUUUAAGAAAUGAGCACCCCAUCCUCCCAGGUGCCCGGGAGCCCUGGACCCCUCCUCCCACUCCACCUCCAGCCAUCAGCAAAUGCUGCAGCUCCAAACCCAAGCCACCCCAGAAAGCGUCGACGCCUACAGCAGCCUCCUGGCUCCCAGGUCCCUGCUACCAUCAUAGCAUACCUUCCGACACUCUGCUCCGCUCCACCAACCAGUAAAUGCAGCGGGACGAGUUCGGAAACCGAUGAUGUUUGCAACCUUGACAGUGACAACCUAAACAGAUACUCAUAUCGUCUCCAAGUGUCUCCCCUGGGAUGCCUUAUAGUUACAGUAGAGAGCCCUCUCCUGGCCUUGGGACCAGGCACAGCAGGCACCGGGCGCCACGCAGGAAGGGACACCGCCCCUUCCUGUGGUUCCAGCCCCAAACGCAAAACCUCACGCCAAUCACAAGGAAACAUCGCAGACAAAAUGCCUCCUCAGAAGCGUCCAGGCCGUGAGAGACCACGAAGAGCUGGCCGUUCGAAGAACCCAUAUCCGUACCUAUGGAAUUAUGAGACGGUUAACAAAAUGUGAAUGUGGGCUGAGAACCAGCGAUGUGUAAGUUUCCUGGUUUAAUGAUUGACAAAGUACGUGUUCUUAGGAAACAGGUGCUAAGGGGCGGGGGUAAAGGGCAUGAUGUCUGCAACUCGCCUGCAGACGGCUCAGAAAUCACCGUGUAUUUAUGUAGUAAACCAAAUGGGACAGGAUGUCAGAAACUGGUGAAUCUAGACGAAGAGUGUAUACAAGUCCUUUGCACUAUGUUUGCAACUUGAGUGUAAGUUUGUUUGAAAUUAUAUCAAAUUAAAAGGUAAACAAAGCCUCUA